rnacentral:rRNA from 1 species
UUCGGGUGCCGACGAGUGGCGAACGGGUGAGUAACGCGUGGAUACCUGUCCUAUGGUGGGGAAUAACGUUUAGAAAUGAACGCUAAUACCGCAUAAGCCCUACGGGGGAAAGAUUUAUCGCCAUAGGAGGGGUCCGCGUCGGAUUAGCUUGUUGGUGGGGUAACGGCCUACCAAGGCAACGAUCCGUAGCUGGUCUGAGAGGAUGAUCAGCCACACUGGGACUGAGACACGGCCCAGACUCCUACGGGAGGCAGCAGUGGGGAAUAUUGCGCAAUGGGGGCAACCCUGACGCAGCGACGCCGCGUGGGUGAAGAAGGCCUUAGGGUUGUAAAGCCCUUUCAGUGGGAAAGAUUGUGACGGUACCCACAGAAGAAGCUCCGGCUAACUCCGUGCCAGCAGCCGCGGUAAUACGGAGGGAGCUAGCGUUGUUCGGAAUUACUGGGCGUAAAGGGCGCGUAGGCGGUUUGACAAG